rnacentral:lncRNA from 1 species
UAGGACGAAUCUCAAAGACUAUGAAUGUCCUAAAAAAUCUAGAUAUUUCUAACAAGUUAGAUGUAGUAAGCUAGGUAAACACACCGGACUCUUCUAGCUCUUCCUACCAGAUCACUAGCAAACCUCCUGAGAUAAGAGAUAAAGGCCUCCAUAGGUGUGGCUAACCAAAGGAAAGGCGGUGGACCAUCAAAACAGUCCCAAACCAAACACGCCCUCAGACAUAAGAAGAGCACAUACACCACAGUUGAGUUCAUCCCCUAACGACUCGAUCUCUCUAGUAGGAAGCCCCAAGUAACUUUCUAGAGAAAUAAUACAACUCUCAGA